AAUGUUUGUUUACCGAGGGUUCGAAUCCCUCUCUUUC
rnacentral:tRNA from 3 species